rnacentral:rRNA from 1 species
UACGUAGGGGCCUAGCGUUGUCCGGAAUUAUUGGGCGUAAAGGGCUCGUAGGCGGCCAACUAAGUCAGACGUGAAAUCCCUCGGCUUAACCGGGGAACUGCAUCUGAUACUGGAUGGCUUGAGUUCGGGAGAGGGAUGCGGAAUUCCAGGUGUAGCGGUGAAAUGCGUAGAUAUCUGGAGGAACACCGGUGGCGAAGGCGGCAUCCUGGACCGACACUGACGCUGAGGAGCGAAAGCCAGGGGAGCAAACGGG